ACCGAUCACACAGUUUGCUCCUCCCUCUUCUUCUUAACCAGCACGAGCCAGUAUGAACUGGAGCUGAACUCACCAGUGUGCGGAGACUAUCUUAUAAUAUCUAUAACUGUGUCCAGAAAUACAUCACAGCUGAGUCUGGACAGAACGUCACACUGACGUGUCGAGCUCCAAUCAACCGCAAGAACUACACAGUAGAGUGGCGCAGAGCUGACCUGAAGACACCGUAUGUCCUUGCUCACUGCAACAGGCACUUUGUUCCAGAGCAGCAUCCAUCUUUUAAGAACCAGCUGGAUUUGCAGGACAGACAGAUGAAGGAUGGAGACGUGUCUUUGAUUCUGAAGGAUGUGACGAUUGCUGAUAGCGGAACAUACGAGUGUCGGGUCUUCGUGAGAAGAAAGAACCCGAGGAAGACUAAGCGCAUCACCACCAUCAGGUUAAGUGUUUCUCCAGGUCAGACAGGAGGAGACACAGAGGAUGGAGGGAAGGAGGAUGGAGGGAAGGAGGCUGGGGGACACGGAGAGGAUAGAUCUGUUGGACUGAAAGUCGAUCUGUCUAUUUGUUCUGUGCGUCGUUAUUGUGGUGUUGUUUUCUUGAAAACAUGAACAACAACUGUCAGGUUUAUAUUUUGAUUGUCAUUUAUGCUUAGAAGUAUUUACUCAUAUAUGCUUAGAGUUUAUAGUCAAUGUAAUAUUGAUAGGAUGUGUGAUCCUUAGUAGUCUACACACACCUACUCACGCACACACGGUACUCUUUGUUCACAUGUGUACCUAUGUAAGACGUCAUGUGUUAAUGAAUCUAUGCAUAUUCAUGUAACCUCAAUAAAAGAUCAGUGUUACGAGGGAGCGGACGACAGCAACUGAGGUCAGGAGAAGGAACUGCGUUUGUCCAGUUGGUCUCC